UGGGGAAUUUUGGACAAUGGGCGAAAGCCUGAUCCAGCAAUGCCGCGUGUGUGAAGAAGGCCUUCGGGUUGUAAAGCACUUUUGUCCGGAAAGAAAUCCUUGGCUCUAAUACAGCCGGGGGAUGACGGUACCGGAAGAAUAAGCACCGGCUAACUACGUGCCAGCAGCCGCGGUAAUACGUAGGGUGCAAGCGUUAAUCGGAAUUACUGGGCGUAAAGCGUGCGCAGGCGGUUUGCUAAGACCGAUGUGAAAUCCCCGGGCUCAACCUGGGAACUGCAUUGGUGACUGGCAGGCUAGAGUAUGGCAGAGGGGGUAGAAUUCCACGUGUAGCAGUGAAAGUGCGUAGAGAUGUGGAGGAAUACCGAUGGCGAAGGCAGCCCCCUGGGCCAAGUACUGACGCUCAUGCACGAAAGCGUGGGGAGCAAACAGGAUUAGAUACCCUGGGUAGUCCACGCCCUAAACGAUGUCAACUAGUUGUUGGGGACUUCAUUUCCUUAGUAACGUAGCUAACGCGUGAAGUU
rnacentral:rRNA from 1 species